rnacentral:lncRNA from 1 species
GUAUAAACUCUACCUUUAUAUUAUUUGUGGGUGGUGGUGUUGGUUUUGGGUUGAGGGGGUGGUGACAAAAGCAAGCAGGUGGUGCCUGUUGAAGCUGAUGGAGCACAGCUGGGAUGAUUGCUUCCCAGCACUCCUCGGUGCCUCAGUGAGGGCUUGCUCUGCAGAUGGUAGAGGAUUUUGGGAGCUUGUUGCUUUUAGCUGUUGGAGGAGGCAAUAACAUUGAAUGCUAACUUUCAUUGAGAACAUAGAUUCUACAGCAAGGAAGUAACAGUAAGUGUUUAUGUAUGUGUUAUGACUCUUUUUUAUAAAGUUUUCUUUUUAGUAGGAGUCUUUGUGAUGUUUAAUCUAAGUAUAUUCUAGAAAGG